GACGUAGGGCGCGAGCGUUGUCCGGAUUUAUUGGGCGUAAAGAGCUCGUAGGCGGUUUGUCGCGUCUGCUGUGAAAACUGGGGGCUCAACCCCCAGCCUGCAGUGGGUACGGGCAGACUAGAGUGCGGUAGGGGAGAUUGGAAUUCCUGGUGUAGCGGUGGAAUGCGCAGAUAUCAGGAGGAACACCGAUGGCGAAGGCAGAUCUCUGGGCCGUAACUGACGCUGAGGAGCGAAAGCAUGGGGGAGCGAACAGG
rnacentral:rRNA from 1 species